AGGUUUCUUGAAAUCUGGAUAUAUACCGUUUACUCCCAAUCAAACCAAUAUUGAAGAUCUUGAAGGGAUCGAUGUAGUCAAUGUUCUGUGGAAGCAUAAAUCUGCUAAGACAGUUCCCUUCCUCACAGAACUGCAGAAUUCAGACAUACAGUUAUAAGAGAUUUACAUCGUUAUUUUACACUACUAUCCAUGGGCUCAAAGAGUUGCAGAAAUCAAAAACUUUCCAAAAUAUGGGUUUCUACUGUUUCUUAUACUCUUGUCCAGGCUCAUAGAAUGGCAGAAAUCAGACUUGCCAAUAUAGAGAGUUUUACUGUUUCUAUACUACUGUCCAUGGGCUCACAGAACUGCAGAAAUCAGACUUGCCAAUACAGAGAGUUAUACUGUUUCCUAUACUACUGUCUAUGGGCUCACAGAACUGCAGAAAUUAUACUUGCCAAUAUAGAGAGUUAUACUGUUUCUUAUACUACUGUCCAGGCUCAUAGAAUAGCAGAAAUCAGACUUGCCAAUAUAGAGAGUUUUACUGUUUCUUAAACUGUUGUCCAGGCUUAUAGAAUGGCAGAAAUCAAGACUUUCAAAUGUAGAGAGUUAUACUGUUUCUUAUACUCCUGUCCAGGCUCAUAGAAUGGCAGAAAUCAGACUUGCCAAUAUAGAGAGUUAUACUGUUUCUUAUACUCCUGUCCAGGCUCAUAGAAUGGCAGAAAUCAGACUUGCCAAUAUAGAGAGUUUUACUGUUUCUUAAACUGUUGUCCAGGCUUAUAGAAUGGCAGAAAUCAGACUUGCCAAUAUAGAGAGUUAUACUGUUUCUUAUACUCCUGUCCAGGCUCAUAGAAUGGCAGAAAUCAGACUUGCCAAUAUAGAAAGUAAUAUUGUUUUUAUACUGCUGUUUCGGCUCAAAGAACUGCAGGAAUUAGACUUGCCAAUUUAGAGAAUUAUACCGUUUCUUAUGCUGCUGUUUGGGCUCAUAGAAUUAUAAAAAAUUUGACUUUCCAAUAUAGAGAAUUAUACCGUUUCUUAUACUACUCUCCAUGGGCUCACGGAACUGCAGAAAUUAGAAUUGCCAAUAUAGAGAGUUAUACUAUUUCUUAUACUACUGUCCAUGGGCUCACAGAACUGCAGAAAUCAGACUUGCCAAUAUAGAGAGUUAUACUGUUUUUAUACUGCUGUUUCGGCUCACAGAACUGCAGAAAUCAGACUUGCCAAUAUGAAGAGUUAUACUGUUUUCAUACUGCUGUUUCGGCUCACAGAACUACAGAAAUCCAACUUGCCAAUAUAGAGAGUUUUACUGUUUCUUAUACUCCUGUCCAGGCUCAUAGAAUGGCAGAAAUCAGACUUGCCAAUAUAGAGAGUUAUACUGUUUCUUAUGCUGCUGUUUAGGCUCAUAGAAUUGUAAAAAAUUAGACUUGCCAAUGACAGGCGGAUUUUUGGUAAUGUCAAUUUGGUAAUGACAAUU